UAGACAUCUUCACUCUUUCUCUCUCUGAUUUUGAUUUCAAAAUUUGAAACUCCAUUAUCUUCCUCUUCCUCUUCCCACCAAGCUUUCUUUCUCUACAAGUUUGAUCUCCUAUGGUGAUUUCUGGAAUAUAGCCCCACUGAGAGGGGGUGAUUUCUACCAUCUGCCUCAAUCUCUACCUCCUCUCUCUCUACACAACUCCAAGGUACAUAUGCCUUGGCGAAAGUGUUUGAUUAGCUCGUAAAAAGUUGUUAUGGCUUUGUUUGCUGUAAUGGUUGAUUAGGGGAGAACUUUUCAAAGAUUGUGGGAAGUCCAUACUAUAUGGCCCCGAAGGUUUUGAAGCAGAAUUAUGUUAUGGGGGGUUCCUUCAUUUUGAGCAGG